UCCGUAGGAGGCAAGCCCUGUCCGGAAUUAUUGGGCGUAAAGCGCGCGCAGGCGGUCCCUUAAGUCUCAUGUGAAAUCUUGCGGCUCAACCGCAAGCGGUCAUUGGAAACUGGGGGACUUGAGUACAGAAGAGGAGAGCGGAAUUCCACGUGUAGCGGUGAAAUGCGUAGAGAUGUGGAGGAACACCAGUGGCGAAGGCGGCUCUCUGGUCUGUAACUGACGCUGAGGCGCGAAAGCGUGGGGAGCAAACAGG
rnacentral:misc_RNA from 1 species